rnacentral:rRNA from 1 species
UACGUAGGGGGCGAGCGUUGUCCGGAAUCAUUGGGCGUAAAGCGCACGUAGGCGGCUUUGUAAGUUAGAGGUGAAAGCCCAAGGCUUAACCCUGGAAAUUGCCUUUAAGACUGCAUCGCUAGAAUCGUGGAGAGGUGAGUGGAAUUCCGAGUGUAGAGGUGAAAUUCGUAGAUAUUGGAAGAACACCAGUGGCGAAGGCGACUCACUGGACACGUAUUGACGCUGAGGUGCGAAAGCGUGGGGAGCAAACAGGGAUUA